GCCCAGACUCCUACGGGAGGCAGCAGUGAGGAAUAUUGGUCAAUGGGCGCGAGCCUGAACCAGCCAAGUCGCGUGAGGGAAUAAGGCCCUACGGGUCGUAAACCUCUUUUGCCGGGGAGCAAGGGCCGGGACGAGUCCCGGUCCGGAGAGUACCCGGAGAAAAAGCAUCGGCUAACUCCGUGCCAGCAGCCGCGGUAAUACGGAGGAUGCGAGCGUUAUCCGGAUUUAUUGGGUUUAAAGGGUGCGUAGGCGGGUUUUUAAGUCAGCGGUAAAAGCCCGGGGCUCAACCCCGGCGAGCCGUUGAAACUGGCUGUCUUGAGAUGUCGAGAGGUAUGCGGAAUGCGCAGUGUAGCGGUGAAAUGCUUAGAUAUUGCGCAGAACUCCGAUUGCGAAGGCAGCAUACCGGCGGCGAUCUGACGCUGAGGCACGAAAGCGUGGGUAUCGAACAGGAUUAGAUACCCGCGUACCA
rnacentral:rRNA from 1 species